rnacentral:rRNA from 1 species
UACGUAGGGUGCAAGCGUUUAAUCGGAAUUACUGGGCGUAAAGGGCGCGUAGGCGGCUUGACAAGUCACUUGUGAAAUCUCUGGGCUUAACCCAGAACGGCCAAGUGAAACUGUCGAGCUAGAGUGUAGAAGGGGCAAUCGGAAUUCUUGGUGUAGCGGUGAAAUGCGUAGAUAUCAAGAGGAACACCUGAGGUGAAGACGGGUUGCUGGUCUAACACUGACGCUGAGGCGCGAAAGCUAGGGGAGCAAACGGG